GGUUCUGUAGGCUAGUUGGUAAACCAAGUCCCUCAUAAGGACAAAUCACCGGAUCGUACCCGGUCAGAACCUCCA
rnacentral:tRNA from 1 species